rnacentral:rRNA from 1 species
AUUGAACGCUGGCGGCAGGCCUAACACAUGCAAGUCGAGCGGAUGAGAGGAGCUUGCUUCUCGAUUCAGCGGCGGACGGGUGAGUAAUGCCUAGGAAUCUGCCUGGUAGUGGGGGACAACGUUUCGAAAGGAACGCUAAUACCGCAUACGUCCUACGGGAGAAAGCAGGGGACCUUCGGGCCUUGCGCUAUCAGAUGAGCCUAGGUCGGAUUAGCUAGUUGAUGAGGUAAUGGCUCACCAAGGCGACGAUCCGUAACUGGUCUGAGAGGAUGUGCAGUCACACGGGAGCUGAGACACGGGCCAGACUCCGACGGGAGGCAGCAGUGGGGAAUAUUGGACAAUGGGCGAAAGCCUGAUCCAGCCAUGCCGCGUGUGGGAAGAAGGUCUUCGGAUUGUAAAGCACUUUAAGUUGGGAGGAAGGGUUGUAGAUUAAUACUCUGCAAUUUUGACGUUACCGACAGAAUAAGCACCGGCUAACUCUGUGCCAGCAGCCGCCGUAACAC